GUAGGUGGCAAGCGUUGUCCGGAAUUAUUGGGCGUAAAGCGCGCGCAGGCGGUUCUUUAAGUCUGAUGUGAAAGCCCACGGCUCAACCGUGGAGGGUCAUUGGAAACUGGAGAACUUGAGUACAGAAGAGGAAAGCGGAAUUCCACGUGUAGCGGUGAAAUGCGUAGAGAUGUGGAGGAACACCUGUGGCGAAGGCGGCUUUCUGGUCUGUAACUGACGCUGAGGCGCGAAAGCGUGGGGGAGCAAACAGGAUUAGAUACCCUGGCAGUCCACGCCGUAAACGAUGAGUGCUAAGUGUUAGGGGGUUUCCGCCCCCCCCUUAGUGCUGCAGCUAACGCAUUAAGCACUCCGCCUGGGGAUACGGCCGCAAGGCUG
rnacentral:rRNA from 1 species